AACGCACAUUGCGCCCGCGAGUAUUCUCGCGGGCAUGCCUGUUCGAGCGUCAUUUCAACCAUCAAGCCUCUGGCUUGUGUUGGAGCCCUGCGGCUGCCGCAGCCUCCCAAAAACAGUGGCGGGCUCGCUAUCACACCGAGUGCAGUAGUUUCCUCUUCGCUCAGGGCGUGUGGCGGGUGCUAGCCGUGAAACCCCCCACCUUUCAAGGUUGACCUCGGAUCAGGUAGGAAUACCCGCUGAACUUAA
rnacentral:misc_RNA from 1 species